AGUGAACGCUGGCGGCAGGCCUAACACAUGCAAGUCGAACGGCAGCACAAGAGAGCUUGCUCUCUGGGUGGCGAGUGGCGGACGGGUGAGGAAUGCAUCGGAAUCUGCCCAUUUGUGGGGGAUAACCUCGGGAAACCGGGACUAAUACCGCAUACGACCUACGGGUGAAAGCAGGGGAUCUUCGGACCUUGCGCAGAUGGAUGAGCCGAUGCCGGAUUAGCUAGUUGGAGGGGUAAAGGCCCACCAAGGCGACGAUCCGUAGCUGGUCUGAGAGGAUGAUCAGCCACACUGGGACUGAGACACGGCCCAGACUCCUACGGGAGGCAGCAGUGGGGAAUUUUGGACAAUGGGCGCAAGCCUGAUCCAGCCAUGCCGCGUGUGUGAAGAAGGCCUUCGGGUUGUAAAGCACUUUUGUUGGGAAAGAAAAGCAGCCGGUUAAUACCCGGUUGUCAUGACGGUACCCAAAGAAUAAGCACCGGCUAACUUCGUG
rnacentral:rRNA from 1 species